rnacentral:lncRNA from 1 species
UGAUUUUUCAUAGUUUAUUACAAUUAGUAUACAUACAAAAUCAGGUAAACUCCAUAACAUAAAUGGUUUAACCUCCACUACAACCAGCAGAUACUCUGCCACGAGCUUUCAGCACCCUAUGUUAACACAGAAUUCACAGAAAACGACAAUCACACAAAUAGGAUUAUAAUACAAUUUGUAAGGAAAGAAUCUUUUUUGUUUUGUUUUUGGUCCAUGUUUUUGUUUUUUUUUUUUUUAAAUAAACAAGACACAUAACUUUUUCCUCUUUGGCAGAAAGAGGUUAAAUCCCUCCCCUCUAACCCCCCAGUUCAUUCGAGAAGUAAACUCUGGAAAAAAAAAAAAAACAACACAAGACAUGAAGUACAGCUGAGACCCGGGCUACUCUAUGAAUACACACAUGUUCAGGGGGAAAACUGCACUUUACAUCACCAGGGCAGUUACUAGCUCUCCGCUAAAAGAGCUCUGCUUCGACACUGGCACAAACACAUUUCAAAGAGCCAUUUGCUUUCCAGAGAGAGGGAGUCGUCCACAUGCGUUGCUUCUGGAGAAAGUUGUAGGAAGUAGGGCUUCUGGGUUCAGCUGUGUUCAUAAUCUGAGGUGUAGAAAUAUUUGAUAUUCCUGCCUUGAGCUAUA